UACAGAGGGUGCAAGCGUUAAUCGGAUUUACUGGGCGUAAAGCGUGCGUAGGCGGUUCGCUAAGUCGGUUGCGAAAUCCCUGGGCUUAACCUGGGAACUGCAGUCGAUACUGGCGGACUAGAGUACGGUAGAGGGUGGCGGAACUCCGGGUGUAGCGGUGAAAUGCGUAGAUAUCCGGAAGAACACCGAUGGCGAAGGCAACCACCUGGGCCUGUACUGACGCUGAGGUACGAAAGCGUGGGGAGCAAACAGG
rnacentral:rRNA from 1 species